AAGGAGCAUCUAGGCUGCCGGGCUUGCCCGGUGGUCCAGGGCCAUAACGCAGGCGAAUGUUUUGCGGUGGUUGCUCAUGGGUGGAACGUUGAUUAUUCGGCAUCUUGAGUCAUCUCAGGCUGUGAGUACUGUCCUUUCGGGGGCGUGGAAAGCUGAUUUGAGUGGUGAGGGUGCCGGGCACGCUGUUGGGUGUCUAAGGGUAUGGCCGUACUUUACGGUUGCCUUCAGUGCCGGCCCCAGUCAACUCCGGUGGUUACCGGGGGUGAUGGGUGGUAGGUCGUUG
rnacentral:misc_RNA from 1 species